AAUGAACGCUGGCGGCAUGCCUAAUACAUGCAAGUCGAACGAACACACGGGGUGUUUUCUCCCAUGGCGUUAGAGGCGGUCGGAUGAGUCACACGUGGAUAACAUAACUCUCAGACUGGGAUGAUAUCGGGGAAUAAGAUCUGCUAACGGAUAAUAUAUCGCACCGCAUUGUUCAAUAGUUAAAUAAGCUUUUUGUGUCGCUUAUAGCCUAAUACGCGCCGAAUUAGUUACUUGGUAAGGUAACGGCUUACCCCGGCAACGAUGCGUAGCCGAUCUGAGAGCGAGAACGGACACACUGUAAGUGAGACACGUUCCAGACUCCGAGGGGAGGCAGCAGUAGGGAAUCUUCCGCAAUGGGCGAGAGCGUGAUGUAGCAAAGCCGCGUGAGUGAUGAAGGACUUCUGAUCGGAAAGCGCUGUUGUUAGGAAAGAUCAAAAGCGUAAUUACCCAGGAACGUAUUGACGGUACCGAAACAAUAAGCCACGGCUAACUCCGUG
rnacentral:rRNA from 1 species